AAAAUAUGUUUUGAAUUUAAUUUCAUGUCAAAUGAAAAGCCUUAAGUCUAAAGAAGUUUUGUUUCUGUUAUUUUUAGUCGCUAUACCAACAAUGUCCACUAGGUACUAGUCAUGAUCCUUGUAUGAUUUGUAAUGGACGACUGAUUUGAUUUACAA